rnacentral:lncRNA from 1 species
AAAACGUAAAGCGAGUUUUGAUUCUAAUGCAAUUAUUUUGUAUCAAUCAUUCUGAUUUGAUUACAGUAAGCGUAAAAUUCUCUAUAGCCUUGUCUGUAACUAAGAAAUCCGACAAUUUGAAUUGCGAAAAGUAGUAACAUGUAAUAUCUACAAUAAUAAGCACCUAUGAAUCUUCUUUUUAUCAAAUUUGAAAAAAAGCGACCAAGAAGCAAGUUAACCCCGGUUUUAAUGUUUGACGCCAGAAACAUAUCUAUGGCGUCACCUUGUUUAGAGGCAA